rnacentral:rRNA from 1 species
UCGGGAAUUUUGGGCAAUGGGCGAAAGCCUGACCCAGCAACGCCGCGUGAGGGAUGAAGUAUUUCGGUAUGUAAACCUCGAAAGAAUGGGAAGAAUAAAUGACGGUACCAUUUAUAAGCUCCGGCUAACUACGUGCCAGCAGCCGCGGUAAUACGUAGGGAGCAAGCGUUGUUCGGAUUUACUGGGCGUAAAGGGCGCGUAGGCGGCGCGGUAAGUCACUUGUGAAAUCUCUGAGCUUAACUCAGAACGGCCAAGUGAUACUGCUGUGCUAGAGUGCGGAAGAGGCAACCGGAAUUCGUGGUGUAGCGGUGAAAUGCGUAGAUAUCAAGGGGAACACCUGAGGCGAACGCGGGUUGCUGGGCCGACACUGACGCUGAUGCGCGAAAGCCAGGGGAGCAAACG